rnacentral:rRNA from 1 species
GACGAACGCUGGCGGCGUGCUUAACACAUGCAAGUCGAACGGAAAGGCCCUGCUUUUGUGGGGUGCUCGAGUGGCGAACGGGUGAGUAACACGUGAGUAACCUGCCCUUGACUUUGGGAUAACUUCAGGAAACUGGGGCUAAUACCGGAUAGGAGCUCCUGCCGCAUGGUGGGGGUUGGAAAGUUUCGGCGGUUGGGGAUGGACUCGCGGCUUAUCAGCUUGUUGGUGGGGUAGUGGCUUACCAAGGCUUUGACGGGUAGCCGGCCUGAGAGGGUGACCGGCCACAUUGGGACUGAGAUACGGCCCAGACUCCUACGGGAGGCAGCAGUGGGGAAUAUUGCACAAUGGGCGGAAGCCUGAUGCAGCAACGCCGCGUGCGGGAUGACGGCCUUCGGGUUGUAAACCGCUUUCGCCUGUGACGAAGCGUGAGUGACGGUAGUGGGUAAAGAAGCACCGGCUAACUACGUG